GCGCCGGAGGCGGAGCCCAGCCCCGCCCCGAGCUUGCGUCUACCCCUGGUGUAGGCGCUGCUCCCUGCCAGUGGGAAAGCCACAGGAGGAGGAAUUUAAGGAAGAAUACCCGCCAGUUGCCCUCCUCAGCGCCCGGAGCCGCGCCAUGCUAGCCCUCCGAAGCAGCCUGACUAGAGCUGUGGCCGCGCGGACGCCGGCGCCUCAGGUGUGCUCAUCUUUUGCUACAGGCCCCAGACAAUACGAUGGAACAUUCUAUGAGUUUCGUACCUCUUAUCUUAAACCAUCAAAGAUGAAAGAGUUCCUGGAAAAUGUUAAGAAAAACAUUCAUCUUCGGACAGCUCACUCUGAAUUGGUUGGAUACUGGAGUGUAGAAUUUGGAGGCAGAAUGAAUAAAGUGUUUCAUAUUUGGAAGUAUGACAAUUUUGCUCAUCGAACUGAAGUUCGGAAAGCUUUAGCCAAAGAUAAGGAAUGGCAGGAACAAUUUCUCAUUCCAAAUUUGGCUCUUAUUGAUAAACAAGAGAGUGAAAUUACUUAUCUGGUGCCAUGGUGCAAAUUAGAAAAACCUCCAAAAGAAGGAGUCUAUGAACUGGCUACUUUUCAGAUGAAACCUGGUGGGCCAGCUCUGUGGGGUGACCCAUUUAAAAGGGCAGUUCAUACUCAUAUCAAUCAAGGCUACACAAAAUUAGUUGGAGUGUUCCAUGCAGAAUAUGGAAUACUCAACAGAGUUCACGUUCUUUGGUGGAACGAGAGUGCAGAUAGUCGUGCAGCUGGGAGACAUCGGUCUCACGAGGAUCCCAGAGUUGUGGCAGCUGUUCGGGAAAGUGUUAACUUCCUUGAAUCUCAGCAGAAUAUGCUUCUGAUUCCUGCAUCAUUUUCACCACUAAAAUAGUUUUCUGCUGGAAUACGAAGUAUUUCAUUAACUGCGAAGAGAUGUGUCUGCUAGUGGUGCUUAAAUUCUCCCAAGAAAUUCUUAUUUUUAUUUGAAGGAGGUGACCAGCUAGAACAUUUCCUGGGGAUACCCAGGGGCUGUCUCCUCCACCCAGUCCAGAGCCCCGUUGGAGAUUUAUAAAGCAGCAGCAGAGCAGAGUUCUUACCGACAAAAUUGGAGAGCCAGUAGAUGAUGGGGCUUCAUUCUGCUGAUGAACUGCAGGUGCUUCGCUUUGCUGAUUCUCUCCUGGAUCAGAAACACGACAAAGCUGGCUGGGACAAAGGACACUGCAAAGAUGACCCAGAUGGACAUGAGGAUUUCCACUUGACAUGCUCUUCCUAGGAAGAGAAAAUAAGGAUCUGAGGGGUCAUGGAUGCAAUUGAGGAUUCAGUCAAGGACACACACAUGCAUACAAAUUCACAUGAAUAUCUGAAGAACAGCUCAGAAGAAGACAUCUAUUCAAUAAAUAAAAUAAAAUUAUUUUAUUCCAAGUUAAAACAUCAUUGUCAAGUCAAAAAACCUGACAAUUCAAAUGCAAAACUGAUUUCUCUGGGUUCAGAAGAGUCCAGCACUAAAGUGAAACUGUUGAAAGGAGUCUGAGAGACCCAAUGGUAUUCACUGUUUUUGAUCUUGUAAGAGCAGCAGGUUAUAAAUUCUCAUACGCACGAAGGACUGGUUUGGUCUGAAAACUUAUUAAUGCAAAAACAUUAGUGUGAAACUACUCAAAUAAGUUAAAUUCUUCUGGCUGUAAGUAAACUGGGAAACGGUGUAAAGUGUAUCAACCUCACAGAAAAAUUCUAGCAAAUUCUUGGUAUAAGAAUGCUCUUAUGCCCAUUACACAGGGUCUUCUAUAAAAUUCCUAGUGACCUGUAUUGAUAUUCUGUAGGAGAUAAGCAGAAACAAUAAUUUCCAUGCUCAAUAUACCUGAUCUACACUUCCAAGUAUUAAUUGUAACUCAGUCUUGACUGGCAUAAGAGCACUAAAUGCCAGUGAUGGCUUUGUAUUUAAGAGUUGUAAACAGUAAACUGUUAGGUGAUCAUAUUUACCUGCAAGCUACUCCCAUGGAUCAGCACUCUGGGUCCAUUUUUCUGACAUGUCUUGGGAUGUAUACUGUACCUUGCCCAGCUUUAAGUGUUUCUUCACUUCCUCAAUGACAUCCUUAACAUGACUCAAAGGAAUUGAUGGAGAAUUACUGAUACCCUGGGAAACCCACCAUACCUAAAAUGAUGGCCUGACAAUAAAAUCCAUGUGGAACACAGCAUUACUCGCAGCAGGCACAGGAUGAGUAUGUACCUACUCCAUUUAAGUAGAGUCCUUCUACAAAGGAAGUCCAAAUUCAGAUUUGGUGAAAGUUAUAGCUCAACCUGCUCUAUUGGAUUCUGGCAAUAUCUUAAUUUCUUAUGGUUCCUGCCGAGGGGGCUAACAGAAACUCAAUGGGGAAGGGGAAGGGCCCUGGGCUUGAUUACAGACAAAGUUAGACAUCUGAGAUGUUGAGGAAAGAAGGCUCACUCAUCUCACAGAUACUCCAGCCAUGGUGGCUCAGGCCUGAACUUGGGUCUCAAGGCAAACAAAUGAGGAGUCAGGAUGAACAGUGAGGGACACUGACUAGAGAGGCCUGAAGGGCUUAUAUACAGGCCUAACAUGAGGGCCCCUGUAGGGGUCUGAGACUGCUCUUAAGUUUUGAGGUAGCCAUGUAAGUUAUCUCAUUUUCCAGGAGGUAUGAAUGGAUUUCAACAAUUCUUCCUUCUUUUCUUCCCAAGUCCCACCUGUUCCUUCAAAACUCAGAGCAACAAAUGAGUUGAAAAGCACAGAAAAUAAAUGGUCUUAAUACUAUUUCCUCCAUCCAAAUCCUUCUUGGGUUCAUGUAAAAAGCCUGGAAAACUGUAUGUACUAAAGUCCUUAGGACCUUUUGGGAAUCUGAUUCCCAAAGUGUAACUGGGAGAAAAGUAUAACCAGGAUAUGAGACUCAUGUUUCGGAUUAAACCAACUGAAAAACCACCUUAUUUAAUAAUAUACAACUGAACUAGAAGAUUUUUACAUUCAAAGCCACAGGGCUGAAGUAGUCUGGGUCCUAAAAAUACCACACAUAGAAGAGCUGCUUGCCAAUAAGGGAAACCCAUUCUAGAUUCUUAAGAAAUAAGAAAUAAAAUCUUAUUUUGUUUCAAACAGUA